rnacentral:rRNA from 1 species
CACGUAGGGCGCAAGCGUUGUCCGGAAUUAUUGGGCGUAAAGAGCUCGUAGGCGGUCUGUUACGUCUGCUGUGAAAACCCAGGGCUUAACCCUGGGCUUGCAGUGGAUACGGGCAGACUAGAGGCAGGUAGGGGAGAAUGGAAUUCCCGGUGUAGCGGUGAAAUGCGCAGAUAUCGGGAGGAACACCGGUGGCGAAGGCGACUACCUGGCCUGUUCUUGACGCUGAGGCGCGAAAGCUAGGGGAGCAAACGGG